CGAGAUGCAGCUUGUAGUCAGGACUCCAUCUCAAAACAAAAGACCCUGUACUACUUAGUGCGCUAAAAUGUGUCCGAACCAGCCAAGUCAAAUUUUGGCUACUUCGAUCAAUUUCCGCCAUCAUUGAUCAGGUGACAUAAUUCGGGUUGGUAACUUCAUCAUUUGACCACGUUAAUUCAUUUUAUCGACAAAGUUGGCUAAAUUCUGAGCCGCUAAUUCGUUAGCCAAAAUUUGAUAGGCAAAUCAAACACAGC
rnacentral:lncRNA from 1 species